GCCCUACUUUAAACAAACCGGCAAUACUAAUAACUCUAUGCCGAAGAGUUGCUGGGUAGUUGGUUGCACCAACAAUUAAUCCAAUAACGCUGAUCUCCGAUUUGUUCCCCUGUCGUGUCCUAAAAAAUAUGUAAUUGAGGGGCUUUAUGGCUCCAAGCUAUAGACCAGACCAGCAUGGCGUCAACGCCGAGGUUGCGCUCCCUUUUUGGGGAAAUAAACUUACCGUCAC